AACGUAGGAGACAAACGUUAUCCGGAGUUACUGGGCGUAAAGGGCGUGUAGGUGGUAGAGUAAGUCUGGCGUGAAAUUUUUCGGCUUAACCGGGAAAGGUCGUCGGAUACUGCUUAACUAGAGGACGGUAGAGGCGUGUGGAAUUCCGGGUGUAGUGGUGAAAUGCGUAGAGAUCCGGAGGAACACCAGUGACGAAGGCGACACGCUGGGCCGUACCUGACACUGAUGCGCGACAGCAUGGGGAGCAAACAGG
rnacentral:rRNA from 1 species